rnacentral:rRNA from 1 species
UGUGAGCUCGAUGAGUAGGGCGGGACACGUGGUAUCCUGUCUGAAUAUGGGGGGACCAUCCUCCAAGGCUAAAUACUCCUGACUGACCGAUAGUGAACCAGUACCGUGAGGGAAAGGCGAAAAGAACCCCGGCGAGGGGAGUGAAAAAGAACCUGAAACCGUGUACGUACAAGCAGUGGGAGCACGCUUAGGCGUGUGACUGCGUACCUUUUGUAUAAUGGGUCAGCGACUUAUAUUCUGUAGCAAGGUUAACCGAAUAGGGGAGCCGAAGGGAAACCGAGUCUUAACUGGGCGUUAAGUUGCAGGGUAUAGACCCGAAACCCGGUGAUCUAGCCAUGGGCAGGUUGAAGGUUGGGUAACACUAACUGGAGGACCGAACCGACUAAUGUUGAAAAAUUAGCGGAUGACUUGUGGCUGGGGGUGAAAGGCCAAUCAAACCGGGAGAUAGCUGGUUCUCCCCGAAAGCUAUUUAGGUAGCGCCUCGUGAAUUCAUCUCCGGGGGUAGAGCACUGUUUCGGCAAGGGGGUCAUCCCGACUUACCAACCCGAUGCAAACUGCGAAUACCGGAGAAUGUUAUCACGGGAGACACACGGCGGGUGCUAACGUCCGUCGUGAAGAGGGAAACAACCCAGACCGCCAGCUAAGGUCCCAAAGUCAUGGUUAAGUGGGAAACGAUGUGGGAAGGCCCAGACAGCCAGGAUGUUGGCUUAGAAGCAGCCAUCAUUUAAAGAAAGCGUAAUAGCUCACUGGUCGAGUCGGCCUGCGCGGAAGAUGUAACGGGGCUAAACCAUGCACCGAAGCUGCGGCAGCGACGCUGAUGCGUUGUAAUGCGUUGUUGGGUAGGGGAGCGUUCUGUAAGCCUGUGAAGGUGUGCUGUGAGGCAUGCUGGAGGUAUCAGAAGUGCGAAUGCUGACAUAAGUAACGAUAAAGCGGGUGAAAAGCCCGCUCGCCGGAAGACCAAGGGUUCCUGUCCAACGUUAAUCGGGGCAGGGUGAGUCGACCCCUAAGGCGAGGCCGAAAGGCGUAGUCGAUGGGAAACAGGUUAAUAUUCCUGUACUUGGUGUUACUGCGAAGGGGGGACGGAGAAGGCUAUGUUGGCCGGGCGACGGUUGUCCCGGUUUAAGCGUGUAGGCUGGUUUUCCAGGCAAAUCCGGAAAAUCAAGGCUGAGGCGUGAUGACGAGGCACUACGGUGCUGAAGCAACAAAUGCCCUGCUUCCAGGAAAAGCCUCUAAGCAUCAGGUAACAUCAAAUCGUACCCCAAACCGACACAGGUGGUCAGGUAGAGAAUACCAAGGCGCUUGAGAGAACUCGGGUGAAGGAACUAGGCAAAAUGGUGCCGUAACUUCGGGAGAAGGCACGCUGAUAUGUAGGUGAAGUCCCUCGCGGAUGGAGCUGAAAUCAGUCGAAGAUACCAGCUGGCUGCAACUGUUUAUUAAAAACACAGCACUGUGCAAACACGAAAGUGGACGUAUACGGUGUGACGCCUGCCCGGUGCCGGAAGGUUAAUUGAUGGGGUUAGCCGCAAGGCGAAGCUCUUGAUCGAAGCCCCGGUAAACGGCGGCCGUAACUAUAACGGUCCUAAGGUAGCGAAAUUCCUUGUCGGGUAAGUUCCGACCUGCACGAAUGGCGUAAUGAUGGCCAGGCUGUCUCCACCCGAGACUCAGUGAAAUUGAACUCGCUGUGAAGAUGCAGUGUACCCGCGGCAAGACGGAAAGACCCCGUGAACCUUUACUAUAGCUUGACACUGAACAUUGAGCCUUGAUGUGUAGGAUAGGUGGGAGGCUUAGAAGUGUGGACGCCAGUCUGCAUGGAGCCGACCUUGAAAUACCACCCUUUAAUGUUUGAUGUUCUAACGUUGACCCGUAAUCCGGGUUGCGGACAGUGUCUGGUGGGUAGUUUGACUGGGGCGGUCUCCUCCUAAAGAGUAACGGAGGAGCACGAAGGUUGGCUAAUCCUGGUCGGACAUCAGGAGGUUAGUGCAAUGGCAUAAGCCAGCUUGACUGCGAGCGUGACGGCGCGAGCAGGUGCGAAAGCAGGUCAUAGUGAUCCGGUGGUUCUGAAUGGAAGGGCCAUCGCUCAACGGAUAAAAGGUACUCCGGGGAUAACAGGCUGAUACCGCCCAAGAGUUCAUAUCGACGGCGGUGUUUGGCACCUCGAUGUCGGCUCAUCACAUCCUGGGGCUGAAGUAGGUCCCAAGGGUAUGGCUGUUCGCCAUUUAAAGUGGUACGCGAGCUGGGUUUAGAACGUCGUGAGACAGUUCGGUCCCUAUCUGCCGUGGGCGCUGGAGAACUGAGGGGGGCUGCUCCUAGUACGAGAGGACCGGAGUGGACGCAUCACUGGUGUUCGGGUUGUCAUGCCAAUGGCACUGCCCGGUAGCUAAAUGCGGAAGAGAUAAGUGCUGAAAGCAUCUAAGCACGAAACUUGCCCCGAGAUGAGUUCUCCCUGACUCCUUGAGAGUCCUGAAGGAACGUUGAAGACGACGACGUUGAUAGGCCGGGUGUGUAAGCGCAGCGAUGCGUUGAGCUAACCGGUACUAAUGAACCGUGAGGCUUAACCUUACAACGCCGAAG